GACGAACGCUGGCGGCGUGCUUAACACAUGCAAGUCGAACGGAAAGGCUCCAGCUUGCUGGAGUACUCGAGUGGCGAACGGGUGAGUAACACGUGGGUAAUCUGCCCUGCACUCUGGGAUAAGCCUGGGAAACUGGGUCUAAUACUGGAUAUGACCUUUCUCCUUAUGGGGUUUGGUGGAAAGUUUUUCGGUGUAGGAUGAGCCCGCGGCCUAUCAGCUUGUUGGUGGGGUGAUGGCCUACCAAGGCGACGACGGGUAGCCGGCCUGAGAGGGUGAUCGGCCACAUUGGGACUGAGAUACGGCCCAGACUGCUACGGGAGGCAGCGGGGGGGAAUAUUGCACAAUGGGCGGAAGCCUGAUGCAGCGACGCCGCGUGAGGGAUGACGGCCUUCGGGUUGUAAACCUCUUUCAGCAGGAACGAAGCGUAAGUGACGGUACCUGCAGAAGAAGCACCGGCUAACUAUGUG
rnacentral:rRNA from 1 species